CUUUAGCUGGUCCAGGAAGGAGAACUCUAGACAGUCUGAUGCUGCUGCUGCCUCCUUGUUGAACGGUUGCUGUGCAACCAUGACAACAGCUUCCAACUACAGAUUUGGAAAGAUCCUCUGCAGCAUCCCUGAGCAAACCUCAGACUGGCUACUGUAUUUCUAAAUGACUCCCGCUAAAAUCAACACCACAGAGACACAAAAUUGCUUGACCUUUCUGAACCCUUCUGCUCCUGUUAGUUCCCACCACUGUUCCACCAAAACCUGCAUGUCAUGCCUUUAAAAACCAUCAACCAUUUAGUUUCAUGGGCUUGAUCUUCAGAAAGGACAAAGGGGCUCUGUAAUGCUCAUUGUAAAUUUCAUACAACUCACGUAUUGGUUGGUUAUAUUUAAGUUGUAAUAUUGAAUUUAACUUGUGCUGGUCCAUUAGAACAGAUUCUCCACCCAGCGUUGGACCUACACAGUAAUUUCCUGCAUAUCAGAAAUAUGUGAGGUUUAUUAUGUUUUAGAAUAAAGAU